ensembl:lncRNA
AGGUAACACAUGACUGUUAAAAUAACACUUAUUUAAUCAUUUUUUGUGUUUAUUCUUUUCUCCAUAUAGACUAUCUUAGGUGGUGUCUGGCAGUGAAGUUGGUGGCAGUUUGAAAAGAGGUACCCUCGGUCACCAAGACUUUGUUGGCCACCAGGGUACCAGAUAAUCAUCUUACCCAGCCAGACCAGCUCAGCAACCGCAGUUUUCGUGUCUGUACACCUCCUCCUCACUGCUGCAUCAUUGAUAAGAAACUCUCUCAGUAGACUUGACCAAAAAUCUUUCAGAGAUGAUCCAGACUGUACAAGCACAAGUUUACAAGUAAAGAAAGGACAAUCCUCAAAAAGAAAGUCUUGGAUUGUGGCCAACUGUCCUCCACUGAGAAUCAAAUCAGGUCUUUGCUGAGUUCUACAGAGUUGCCAGUAAGAACCUCAAGAAAGACUUCUACGAAGCUCUUGACCACCACGCCACUCGUCUCAUU